rfam:Candidate division NC10 bacterium RIFCSPLOWO2_02_FTLL_66_22 rifcsplowo2_02_scaffold_35845, whole genome shotgun sequence.
GGAGUCCCACCGGCGCGGAGGCGAGCCACCUCCCCGCUGGGACCGAGUCUUGCGUCCAGUCCGGUAACGGCCUGGGCGAAGCGUAGACAGGAAUCCUGUGGGCCGAAAUCCGCCACAGGCGGGCAUGAACGGGACCAGCCCCGAAAUCCCCGACACCGUGGACGCCGACCCGUAGGCAACGGCGGGGAAGGCAGCAGCGGCCGCACGCCCAGGCGAGCGCGGACCCGCGGCCACCGGGGCCUCAGCCGU